ACUGCUGUAGCUUCAGGGCAGAAGAGCCACAGAGCCAAAUGCUGCAGAGAUGAAGGGAGACGGAAAGAGCCAAAUGCUGCAGAGAUCAAGGGAGACGGAAGGAUGUCGCCUCCAGAGCUGGGGCCACGGGCAGCGCCAGGGCAGGUUCAUCACUGAUGGCAAGUCUGUGGCUGACCACGUUCACAGGGGUGGCCCUGAGCAAAGGUCGGACAUGAGGACCCAGGAGAAUUCAGGCCCCGGCUCUGGGACGGCUGUGCACCCCCACCCUGGCCGUGGCUGGCACCUCAGAAGGCACAGCUGUCCUUCACUCGCACGGAGCAACCUCGGGACAGAUGGUGGGAGAGGAAGGGCAACUCGAGGAGGCACAUUUUAGGAAACUGCCCACGGAGCCAGUUUCGAUUCUCCAAACCUCGUCAGCAUGCAGAGGCUCCCUGACUCGGCAGCAAGGAGGGCCUCAUCAGCCGACCCCCAUGCCCGGCACCCCCUUCACCACAGGGUCCUGAAAACUCCAGAGAGCAGUGCCCUGUGCAUUAAACACAGACUGCGCCCUUGUACUCAGGUAUGACCAUUUGUCCUGGACAAAAAUUAAACUGAUGAGGGAACAAAAUAGGGCCUUAUAGAAGGUGAGUGGAAAAGCAGGGAAGGCAAACCCCCAAAUUCAGGAGGGAGGAUGGAAUUGGCCUGGGGAGCAGAGGCAGGAGGUUCUGUGGACAGGGCUGGUGGAGCUCUGGGGGGAGCAGAGGCAGGAGGUUUUGUGGACAUGGUUGAUGGACCUCUGCGGGGAGAAGACGGAGGAGAUUUUGUGGACAGGGCUGGUGGAGCUCUGCGGGGAGCAGACACAGGAGGUUCUGUGGACAGGGCUGGUGGAGCUCUGGCCACUUCCUCCGUAAACUAGAGACGUGAUCCCCAGGGCCAGGUCUGUCUCUGAGGUCCUACCAGCUGGGACAGGAGGAUGCAAUUCUCUCUCUAAAGUCGAGAGCUCACCACCCCGGGCGUUCGUCACUGCAGACAUCACUGCAGACACAGAGACGGCCAUUAGAGCUCACCACCCCGGGCGUUCGUCACUGCAGACAUCACUGCAGACACAGAGAAGGCCAUUAGAGCUCACCACCCCGGGCGUUCGUCACUGCAGACAUCACUGCAGACACAGAGACGGCCAUUAUGCAGCCUCACGUGGUCACUCCUGGGGGCGGUAGGAUAUUUUAUCCUAAAGAGAAAACACCUUAAAUUCUCACAUCAGCCACCCCCAUGGCGACUCUUAACACCUUAAUGUAGCACCUUCCAACUUUUCCUGGGCAUUUAUGUACAAAUUGUAAUAAAAUUGGGUUCUUACUGCAUACGCUGCUUGCUGGUUUCUAAAUAAAAUUGGGUUCUUACUAUAUAUGCUGCUUGCUGGUUUUUUAAACCACCUUGUGCUUUCCCACAGUAUUAAAGUUCUUUAAAAAUAUGAUUUUAAACUAUAACUUAGUAUUCUGAAUACAAUACGUUUUACCAUCUUCCUGUUUGGGAGCACAUGGAUUGUUUCCAAUUUUGCUCGAUUAUAUGCAGCACUGAAAUGGACAUCCUGGCAGAUAAAUCUCUGACGACUGCCUUAGGAUAAGUUCCCAAAAGGGAAAU
rnacentral:lncRNA from 1 species